rnacentral:rRNA from 1 species
GACGUAGGGGGCAAGCGUUGUCCGGAAUCAUUGGGCGUAAAGCGCGUGUAGGCGGCUCGAUAAGUCUGCUGUGAAAGUCCAGGGCUCAACCCUGGGAUGCCGGUGGAUACUGUCGAGCUCGAGUCCGGAAGAGGCGAGUGGAAUUCCUGGUGUAGCGGUGAAAUGCGCAGAUAUCAGGAGGAACGCCAAUGGCGAAGGCAGCUCGCUGGGACGUGACUGACGCUGAGACGCGAAAGCGUGGGGAGCAAACAGG